rnacentral:rRNA from 1 species
UACCAGCACCCCGAGUGGUCGGGACGAUUAUUGGGCCUAAAGCAUCCGUAGCCGGCCUUACAAGUCCCCCGUUAAAUCCAACUGCUUAACAGAUGGGCUGCGGAGGAUACUAUAAGACUAGGAGGCAGGAGAGGCAAGCGGUACUCAGUGGGUAGGGGUAAAAUCCGUUGAUCCAUUGAAGAACCACCAGUGGCGAAGGCGGCUUGCCAGAAUGCGCUCGACGGUGAGGGAUGAAAGCUGGGGGAGCAAACCGG